rnacentral:misc_RNA from 1 species
AAACACUCCAACCCUUUUCAUGAGGAUAAUUGAAUAUUAGGUACAUAAAAAAAAAGAGAGAAAAAGAAAAAAAAUUCAGAGACAAAAAUCGAGCCUUGUAUUUGUAUCCCUGAAUUUUGCUCUUUAGAUUGGUUCCGAUUAUCUAUAAAUUCUGGUUUAUCGAAGUUGGUGAGCUCAACAGAGUCGAGUUACGAAGAAUUGGAGAACUGUCUCUGCGUGGGUUUCAGAAGAGAAGAGACGUGAGGAAAUGUGGGGAUUUGGGGGAAGUUGUUAUUGGGGGAGAAGGGAAAAGAAAAGGGAAGGGAUAGUGGUGGUAUUUGCUUGGAUGUCGAGCCAAGAGAAGCACGUGAAGAGCUACGUCGACCUCUAUUCGUUGCGUGGCUGGGAUUCACUUGUUUGUCAUUCCCAAUUCCUCAAUAUGUUCUUUCCUGAGAAGGCUGAAGCUUUAGCAUUUGAUAUCCUCAACAUACUUACUGAGGAGCUAAAAAUUAAGUCAUGCCCUCUAGUCUUUGCAUCCUUUUCUGGAGGUCCAAAGGCCUGUAUGUACAAGGUUCUUCAGGUAACUACCUCACACUUCUGUGCUUGAAUGCUAUCAAUGGAAUUUCUAUGGAUGAUAAAUUUAUUUUUGCAUUGCAGAUUAUUGAGGGAAAGUGUAAAUUACAACUGAAUUUGGUACGUCAGUCUUUUGCAAUCAAUAGUUGGAGUUUUUCCUUCUCUACAAGAAAUGUUACCAUUUUUCCUUUCUCUACAUGAAACGUUACUUGAAGAUAACAUUGUCUAAUUUUUUUUUGCUAGUGUUUUGUGAUCCAUGGACUUAAAUACUGUGUUUUUUAUUUUUUUUAUUUCUUCAAUAUAAAGGAUGACUGCCGACUGGU